rnacentral:rRNA from 1 species
UCAGGCGUAACACAUGCAAGUCGAACGGGAUCUUUGGAUGUAGUGGCGGACGGGUGAGUAACGCGUGGGAACGUGCCCUUUGCUUCGGAAUAGCCCCGGGAAACUGGGAGUAAUACCGGAUGAGCCCUACGGGGGAAAGAUUUAUCGGCGAAGGAUUAGCCCGCGUUGGAUUAGGUAGUUGGUGGGGUAAUGGCCUACCAAGCCGACGAUCCAUAGCUGGUUUGAGAGGAUGAUCAGCCGCACUGGGACUGAGACACGGCCCAGACUCUUACGGGAGGCAGCAGUGGGGAAUCUAAGAGAAUGGGGGAAACCCUGAUCUAGCCAUGCCGCGUAUUAAGAGAGGCCUUAGGGUUGUAAAGCUCUUCAGCUGGGAAGAUAAUG